AUGACUAAUAAAGUAACAAUGAACAGUUAAUGGAACUCGAUUCAAAUUAUUUCAGUACCAUUAUGCAUUUUAGCAAAACGUAAUCGCAAUGAAGAAUUUUUCAAGGAAACACCAAUAGAUUUUUGCGAUGCACUCAAUUAAAGGAAAUGACUCUGAUACGUUAUCAACUUACUACCUCCAACUGGAUAUUGUAUUUCCAUUGGGCACAAUGGAAUUAUUUUGACAUAAUAUAAUAAUAAAAAAAUUAGCUUAUUAUAAUAA